rnacentral:lncRNA from 1 species
CCCCCGACAUAUUUUCCGUAUGCAAAGUGACCUCAGUGUGACCCAUCUCGUAAAAAUCCGGUGAUCACAAUACACAUGGAUGUCCUUAAAAUAAACUAUUAUCUGAAUUUACAUGUUAAACACGUGCUCAAUUUCCAUGCUUUUUUGUUGAUUUUUUGUCGAUUGUUGACAAACAGGUGACAAUUGUUAAACUUCGACUUCAAAACACGAACUUUAAUUGCCUGCCAUAUUUUCACAACAACACUGACCGAUUGAAAAAAAAAUUAACGAUUAUACGAAAUUUACACGAAAAA